rnacentral:pre_miRNA from 1 species
GUGAGAUGGGAAUGGUAGCUGAAGUUAUUAGAAGUACAAGGAAUGGGUUAGUUGGUUAGAACAAAAGAAACACUCUCUCUGUGUUUUCUUUCUUACCAAUUCCGCCCAUUCCUCAUAUUUCUAAUUUCUCCUCCCUUUCCCUUUCCUCA